UGCCAGCCGCCGCGGUAACACGAACCGUACGAACGUUGUUCGGAGUUAUUGGGCGUAAAGCGCGUGUAGGCGGUUCGUUAAGUCUGAUGUGAAAGCCCGGGGCUCAACCCCGGAAGUGCAUUGGAAACUGGCGAACUUGAGUACGGGAGAGGAAAGUGGAAUUCCGAGUGUAGGGGUGAAAUCCGUAGAUAUUCGGAGGAACACCAGUGGCGAAGGCGGCUAACUGGACCGGAACUGACGCUGAUGCACGAAAGCGUGGGUAGCAAACAGGAUUAGAUA
rnacentral:rRNA from 1 species